ACGAACGCUGGCGGCGUGCCUAACACAUGCAAGUCGAGCGAUGAAGUUCCUUCGGGAACGGAUUAGCGGCGGACGGGUGAGUAACACGUGGGCAACCUGCCUUAUAGAGGGGAAUAGCCUUCCGAAAGGAAGAUUAAUACCGCAUAAGAUUGUAGCUUCGCAUGAAGUAGCAAUUAAAGGAGUAAUCCGCUAUAAGAUGGGCCCGCGGCGCAUUAGCUAGUUGGUGAGGUAACGGCUCACCAAGGCGACGAUGCGUAGCCGACCUGAGAGGGUGAUCGGCCACAUUGGGACUGAGACACGGCCCAGACUCCUACGGGAGGCAGCAGUGGGGAAUAUUGCACAAUGGGGGUAACCCUGAUGCAGCAGCGCCGCGUGAGUGAUGACGGCCUUCGGGUUGUAAAGCUCUGUCUUUGGGGACGAUAAUGACGGUACCCAAGGAGGAAGCCACGGCUAACUACGUGCCAGCAGCCGCGGUAAUACGUAGGUGGCAAGCGUUGUCCGGAUUUACUG
rnacentral:rRNA from 1 species